AGAGAGAGAGAAAUUCAGAGGAGACCAGAGACCCAGAGCCCGGCUCCGGCUCCGGGAGAGACGGACAGAGGGAGCGGAGAGAGGAAGGAGGACAGGGAUCCAAGGGAGGCCCCCACGAAGUCAAGAGGAAAGUCGCUCUGGGAUCAGAGACAAGAGAGGGACCCCCUCCAUCAGCCCCCGCUCCAGGGGUUCUGGAUCAUUUAUGGCGUCUGACCUAACCUCAAAAGAGAAAGGAUUCCCGUGAUUUUAACCCUCAAGGGAUAAGUAAAACACUUGCACAUCCACCUGGGGUUCUAGGCUGGAGCAGGCUUUGUGGACCCCAGCGGCCUGGUGUGGCCAGCUGCUCCCAGGCCCAGGCAAGCAUCUAGCCCAGAGAACCAGUAAAAAUGAGCAGGGGCCCAUCCUGUCAAUGGCUGUGGAGGACGUGUGCAGAGAUGUGGACAGGUUGGAGAGCUCCAGGUGGGUAAGGAGUGGGAGCUGGCUGCAAGACAACUCCUCGACAUGGCAGACCCCAGGCCUGGCUAUCCAGCCUGGACAGCUGGUGUGAGCACUUGGAAAGCUAAGUGACAGUUCCUAGGAGCCAACAUGGCCCCCCUGAAAGCUAGUCAUGCCAGGCAAAGCUCAUUUCCUAUUUGGACACGGUUAUAACGACUAGUGGAGUUGGGCAUCGCCUUGCCUUCUGGGCCUGGGUUGGGGCACGGCUGCUGCCCAGCUCUCUGACAGUAACUUUGUAAACAACAAAGGGAGUCAGGAGCAAGAAGAUAGCCUGGUCAAGUGGCUUACCCCGGUCCACUCCCUGAUGGGCUCCAGUGGAGGGAGCCUCCACCUCCCUCCAGGACUUGAGCCAUGUCAAGCAUCUCAGCGCAAGUGCUCACAACAGAGAAUAAGCUGUGUAAGAAGGACGCUGCUCAUGCAGACUGGACAGAUGCACGGCUGUUCACCAUGGCCUUGACAAGCUGGGACCACGGGCCAAACCCAAUCACCAUGGCCUUGACAAACUGGAACCAUGGGCCAAAGCCAAGAGGAUGACAUGAACAUGGACAAGCAAGUGGGGCCAUCCUCCCAGGCCAAACACAAACAUCCAGCUAGGAGUGUUCACUCCCACUUGUAAAUUUCCACAGCCCCUUUUGUCCUUGAGUCUCACUCCCUGGCCAAUAUCACAUCACUAUGUCUCACCUGGACCACUGGAAGCACCCCUUCCUGAUGUAUUUCCCAGCCUAUGUACCCUUCUUCACCCCCUCCUUUCUGGUUCCUAUGCUUUAAAGUGUCAUGGUUGCUGUCCACUGCCAUGGGAACCACCCCUAAUCAUAAAAGUAGUCCCAGACACAGUUGCUCUUCCUUGGAGUCUUACAGAAUUGUUCUGAGAGUAGCUGGUUUCUUGUCACCGUCUCCUCCUUGCCCCAGGAUGCCCCCAAUUCCACCCAGCAUCCAGAACACUGAGUGGAACAUGCCCUUCCAUCCAGAAC
rnacentral:lncRNA from 10 species